GAUUCUUCCUAAAACAUUCCGAGUGCCGCGUCCUGAUCUGCCAGACAGCCCCGGGUGUGCGCUUGUGUGUCUGUGUGAAAUGUGUACACGAAGAUCUUGCUAGACAUAUGCUUUCUGGUGUUCCAGUAGUAGAGCAAAUUUUUGGCAGCCGUAGAACAUCUUCCAUGCAUAAUCACGGAGUCGAUUAAUGUGUUCUACAUUUAACGUGCUACGUUUUCUUGUAUCGAAAUGUGUCACGGAUGAAUUUUCAGUUUUUGCACAGUACUCAAAACUUAUUUCGGAGGUGGGGAUUGGGGGUUUUGAAGGGGGGAGGGGUAUCAUGACAUCAUCCUACAGUGAUUCUUCAGGUCAUUGAGGUGGCUCUUGAAUGGACGAAGAAAACACAAAAGCUUCCUGAGCAAGUAUAAAGAGCCAAUCGAGUCCUGAGAGCCAGAGCCUCCUGUUUCGGAGUGGCCUGCUUUUGUGCUGGAGUUGAAUAAGACCACUGUGUGUCUGAAACCUUUUUAUAUGCCACUGGACAACAUCUAGAGUCAGGCCUUCAUCUUGUACUCAUCUGAGGUCAGCUUUGUGUUUUCUAUUCAAAUGAUCACAUGUGGGUUCAAAUGAGGUAAGAAUGUCCCAUAGCCCCCUUUCUCACCUUCUCUCUUAUGAGAGAGCAUGAGAGUGCAGAUCAGAGGAUUGGGAGAGCAGCUUGAACGUUACACACACAGUGCAGGAUGUAGCGGAGACGGCGAAGUAAACAAUAACGUAGUCUAAUGUUGUGCAAUUUAGCUCCUGUUUCUCAGCGAUCCACUGAAUCUCAUUAGCCUUUCGACAAGAAGUUAAUUCGGUGUUUUAGCCUCGGCAGUGCGUGCAAACAGCUCAGGGCUCAUUCUGAAUGCUUACAGCUCAUCAAAAGCUUUCUAAAAUGAUCUCCUCUGAAGCUAAUUUACAGUCUUUGUCUGCAGUGCUUUUACAAGCAACGAUAGUGUGUAAGCAUGCUGGAGAUGAUAAAUGACUUUUCAUCCUCUGCUCUGUUCUCACCACUCCCCCUGUGAUGCUGCUUCACCAUCGGCUCAGAUGACGUCAUGAGCCUCGUCCUUCUGUGCUCUUGCUUGUUUAUGCUUAUUUUAACCAACCAUCGAAGUCCAUAAGAGGAUAUAUUUUAGUGGCUAUAUCUUUAGUUGUCAUGGUCAAGGUUUCCAUGGCCACGUUGUUCUCUCAGUCAUUUCAUCCAUCAAUAAUGGGAUUGACUGGUACAGCAUCUAAUAUUGAAAUAAGGAUAAAUUAAGUGGAUAAACAAGAUUCCAGGCGUUGUGAUGCAUCAGAUAUUCACAACAGAUCGAGUUUUUUGGGCCGGGCAUUCAGACUAAUGGAUGUUAAACUAACUGGAGAAAGCCUUUUUGUCAAAGAAAGCAUUUGUCACAGUGUAGUGACAGAUGUUGUUAUGGGAAGAACUCCAGUCUGGGCCAGUAAAUCUGAAGUAAUAGCUUUCAUCUCUCCUCUACAGCACAUCCAGAAGGGCUGAAUGAAGCAGAGAGAUGAGAGGAUGCAGGAUGCAUACUAACACCCAGCCUGCCACCUCCUCCUCGUCCUCCUCUCCUCACAGCUUCAGGCUGCUAUAUGAGUCUGCACUCUUAUAGCUAAUGUUUCAGGCUGGAAGACAUCUCGAAGACAGGGGAACGUAUGGAUGGCGGGUGAUGUCUAUAUUUGGUUUUGCCUGACUGCACACGGUGUAUAGACUAUGGGUGUUACAUAACAAGUUUUUUAACACUACAGCAGUAAAACAGCCGAGAGGAGGAGUGUGUAUGUGUGUGUGUGGUGUGUAAGAGAGAGAAAAGAGGGGAAUGGGUUCAGUUUUGCAGUACAAUGGAGAGUUGCUUUGCUCGGUGGGGUGGGUUAAGUAAUCUGGGACAGCCAAACCAUGUGAUUGUCGCCAUGGCAAUGGCGACGGCUAGAAGGAGAAGAGGCUAUGUGUGUGUGUGCGUGUGUGUGUGUGUGCAUGUUUUGCUUGCUGUGAUAAGUAGACACACCACAUUUCAUUGACGAUGUAAAUUUGCGUAAUGGCAAAUAGCAUCGCUACACUGUCCCAGGAAGUUCAGUGUUAUAAUGGCAUGGUUGCUAGUUUUCUCUCUCAGUAAUUAGUUUAGUAUGGUUAAAAAGUGCAAAGUGCUUAUGAGGCUGUGUUUGUUAUAAUGAUAUCCAUAACUGAGACAUAGCAUCAACGAUAUAAAGCUCAGCUCUUACAGAUCGUUGAAAUAUAUAGAUUUGGCCAACAUAUAUACAGUGCUGCCUUCAUCGUGAUUUCUUCUGUUUUUGUGUACAUCUCAUAAUAAAUAGUUUUAGAUCUUCAAACGAAAUACAACAUAAAACAAAGGCAACCUGAGUAAACACAUGGUACAGUUUUUCUUUUUUAUUGAAGCAAAAGAAAGUUAUCCAACACCUAUCAGCAAUUUGAAGAACUAGUUGCUCCCUUAAACUUAAAACCUGGUUGUGGCACCUUUAGUAGUAAUAACUGCAACCAAACGCUUCUGAUAACCGGAGAUCCGUCUUUCACUUACUUCCAGGACUAGGACUUACUCCUAUGCUUUGGAUCAUUGUCUUGUUGCAUACUCCAGUUGCGCUUGAGCUUCAAUUUACGGAUUGAAGACCAGACAUUCUCCUUUAGGAUUUUCCUGGUGGAGUUAUAUGAAAAAAUCUGAAAAUAAUAAUCCCCAAAGUUUAUAUAAACAGGAUGUCUUUCAGUUGCCUUUGAGAAGGGUGUAUUAGUCAGGAGUUAGUUUUUAUUAGCCAGUUUCCUCUUCACCUCAGAAGCCUAAAAAGGACCAAACGACAAGCAAAGUACUCGCUUUUAAUUGUUGUUCAUGUUUAUCAUACAAAACAAAAUCUCUCAUGUAUAUCUACACAACACAGCUGUUAGAUUGGCAGCUGAUACCUACAGCAGUCCAUCAGGGUCCAUCCUCACUGUCCACCCACAACAAAAUGCAGGAUCAGGGAGAGGACGGAUCCUUUAUGACCUCAAUACAGGACCAUUGGAAUGUAAUAGUCGUUUUUUUCUAGUACUUGAGUGAUUUAUUAUUUCCUAGAACAUGAGCAUUUCAAUGAUAAAACUCUGAUACGCAGUCUAACACUAUUGUAAUUUACGGCCUGCUCUGUCUGCUGGCUGGGUUCCGGGGGCACCAUGUCCCCAAAUACAAGUGACACUGACGGUUGUGGUGUCCAUCAAACCAUCAGUGAGUUGCCGGAUCUGUCUAUCCAUCUCAGCAAUUAUGCAGGAAGAAACAAACAACCUGUUUACAGCAGAUAAUCGAUGACAUCCGGCUCUAGUUUGGAUAAAUACAGUGAAUAAAGCGCAUAGAAACAGAGCGCCCUCUGCUGGUCAGCAUUAAAUACGUUGUAGCACAUUUUGAUGCAGGGGUAUACUCUAGGGGGUGCAUUGCUAACAAUAAAAUCCUAUCAGGCAGAAAGAAAAGAAUCAUUUUACCACUAAAAGCAUAGUGUCUCCGCACGUCUUCCAACAAUACCAACAGUAUCGUAAAAUUUCAGUUGUGCUUGAAAGUUUUCGAAUUUUCUAAAUUAUAUCUGCAUAAAUUACGACCUAAAACAUCAUCAGAUUUUCACACAAGUGUAUCAUGGAAUGAACAAAGGAGAUUUCUGAGGACCGCAGAAAAAGAGCUGUUGAUGCACAUCAGGCUGGAAAAGGUUACAAAACCAUCUCUAAAGAGUUCUCAACUUAAAGACGACUCCACCGAUCCACAGUCAGACAGAUUGUGUACAAAUGGAGGAAAUGUAAGACCAUUGUUACCCUCCCCAGGAGUGGUCCACCAACAAAGAUCACUCCAAGAGCGAGACAUGUUUUAGUCCGUGAGGCCACAAAGGAACUCGGGGUAACUGCUAAGCAAUUAAAGGCCUCUUUCACAUUGGCUAAUGUUAAUGUUCAUGAAUCCACCAUCAGGAGAAAACUGAACAACAAUAGUGUGCAGGGCAGAGUUGCAAGGAGUUAGUCACUGCUCUCCAAAAAGAACAUUGCUGCCCCUAAGUAGUUUACUAAAUAUCACAUGGACAAGACAGAUGGCUACUGGGAAAAUGGUUUGUGGCCGGAUA
ensembl:lncRNA